rnacentral:misc_RNA from 1 species
GAUGAAGAACGUAGCAAAAUGCGAUAAGUAAUGUGAAUUGCAGAAUUCAGUGAAUCAUCGAAUCUUUGAACGCACAUUGCGCCCGCUGGUAUUCCGGCGGGCAUGCCUGUUCGAGCGUCAUUUCAACCCUCAAGCCCCCGGGUUUGGUGUUGGGGAUCGGCUCUGCCCUUCUGGGCGGUUCCGCCCCCGAAAUACAUUGGCGGUCUCGCUGCAGCCUCCAUUGCGUAGUAGCUAACACCUCGCAACUGGAACGCGGCGCGGCCAUGCCGUAAAACCCCAACUUCUGAAUGUUGACCUCGGAUCAGGUAGGAAUACCCGCUGAACUUAAGCAUAUCAAUAAGCGGAGGA